CGUCAGGUGAAGGGAGAAAGCUGGUCACCCUCCAACAGGAUGAAGAGAAAUUUCAAAGUGAGAGAGAGAGAGAGAGAGAGAGGCCCUGUCUGGGGAGCACCUGAACAACCGAGCAUCAGGAGAGCAUGGGUGCCAGAUUACAGGUUGCAAGAAUCAAGUCGACCUUCCUUCCAGCUUCCAGGAACACCUGCACUGCUUUCGAAACAAACACAAGGCAGAGUCAGUGAUACCGGGAGCACUUUCAGCGGUUCCAAAGCUUGUUGCGACGUGAUACCUGCUCCACAAAGUUUAAUCGCCUCCUUCUAUUUCUUUACAAGAUGCAGGCAGGACAGAAUGUGACUGGACAGAUUUGGGAAGAUGAAUGAAGUGGUCAGUUUGUGGAUACUUCCAUCAUGACCUACGUUGAGAAGGAACCCAAAACAAUAUUGAAACUGGAGAACGGAUGACUGAUCUUUGUGAAAUCUGUCUGUUCCUUAUUUGAGGCUGGUGCAUUUGUCUGUCUCACAACAGUGACUGAACUUUAUCAAUGGAUAAAAUGCACUCAAUUGUCUGGAGAAGAUGGCUGUUUUAUUGUAACUAGGCCUCAAAUGAAAGUAAGUAGUAAAUUGCCAUUGAAAGUUGUGA